CUGAAGUGGAGAGAGAACACAAGGUUUUUGGGAAGGAGAACUGAAGGGAAGUUAGAAGGACGCUGACAAGCAAGAAAGGCAAAGCCUGUGGGGAUGAGGGAGACUUACAGCUCUACAGGCAGGAAGACUUGUACUACCAGUAUAGAGAAGAAAUUUUGGGGACACUGAGAGCAGUUGAGGAGUCAGAGAAACUGGAAAUUGAUUUUCACCUGUACUUCAGGUGGAGCCAUUUGAAGUGUUUGUGAAAUGCAUGGAGAGGAUUCAUUCCUAGGUUUGCUAUUGUAUUACUGACACACUCUUGAUCAAGAAUUCUGCUAUUCAUAUUUUGUGGCUCUCCUUUCACUCACAGCUCUUCCUCUUCCAGGCCUCAGCACCCAACUAAUAUGUACCACUUGUGGCCAAGCUGUCCUUUGGAGGCCAUCCUGCAAGUGAGCUAUCCGCACAGCUCAUCGCCUUGGUCCGUUUCAACAUGUCUGCAACUUCAGGAAGUUCUUGGAUCACCUACACUUCUAUGUGUCAUCAGAAGUAAAGAUGAUUCAUCAGCGUUCCCUUUCUAAUAGCCACUAUCUCAAGUGGGCAGUAAAGAAUGACCAAACUGACUAUCAGAUGGGAAAGAGCAGAAGUUGGAACGAUAUUUGCCUUGCUCACUUUGUACUUGACUGUGAGUCCACAGUUCUCUUCUAGGGUUGCAGGAGUUGCUCAAGCAUUUAAUUACUUGAAUACCAAUGAGUUGAAACUACUUGGUUCAGGAGGUAGAGUAAUAAAAGUAUUCUCGAGGUGGCUAUAUCAUUUUUUUAAGUUUUCUUGACGAGCUAGAAUAGUCACAGAUUUUAAGUGUUGGCAAUGAUUGUAUUCAAAAAGCAUGGAAAGCAUGAGCCUACGUUUUCUGCUACACCCAUGUUCCUCCAGAAACAGCAAAAGAAGGGAGUGUGGCCUUCCCAGGGAGCUGCUUAAUUAUCUGGCUGACUACACACCAGCUUUGGCCUAGUCAUAGCCGAGAGUAGCUUCAGGUCUGCACUAGUUGAUAAGGUCUCAAAAGGGGACAGGCUGGGCUAAGCCUUCCCACUCCUCUAGCACUGCAUAACAAGGUCAAGAAGUGGGAAGACUGGCUUCACAUUAGCUCCUGCUGUUCGAUAUCUGUAGUAAAUGCACAGAGUACACCUGUCUUCUUGCCGAUAUCAAGGUGGCAGGAGGGAUCAGAGGAGCCAAGAGACUUGGGAAAGAGGAAAAGCUAAAAAUGAUGUACGUCUGGACUGCGUAUUUCCCACCGUGUAUUUAUGGGAAAUGGAAGUCUUUCAGCUUUGUGUAUGAGUAGUGUCACUGGGGUGUUUGGUGUAUGACUAAGGUUCUACGCAGCUGCUUUGCGAGGGUCAUUAAAAACAACUUAACUUUUUCUCAACUUUGCUAUUUCACAUGCUUGGCGGGGGGGUUGCUCUUUUUUUUAUUUUUAACUAGUUUUUCCCAUAUAGUUGCCUGUGAAACGACCAAGGUUUUCCAUGUAGUAAAAGAAAAAGCGCAUGGAGUUUGGAUACAAAUCCAACUGGAAAAAAAUACCCCUGAAGAAGUACAGAAAGUCAGUGACUCACACUUAGAAUACAGCUUGACAUUUGAGCAUGCAAGAUGAUUCGUGGGAUGUGGCUUAAACAAGUCCCAAUUUUCAAUGUCUCUUUAUAGACAAGCCUGUCAAAUCUGGAAUAGAAUAUAUGAUUUAUUUUUAUUUCAGGGUGGAAAUAGUCUUUUUUGAGUUUUAGUAUGUAAUAGAUGAGCACUUGCCAGUGCACAUUUCACAAAGCCAAAAAAGGAGAGCAUACGUGGGCUAAAAAGGAGCAGAACUAAAGUUACAGGCCCUAAUUUUUCUCUGCAACGUGAUUUAUAUUGAUACACUCAUUGUGUUAAAUGGAAUAACUUUGUAUUUUUGCACUACUUGAAGUAAGGAGAGGUCAUACUGCUGGAAGCCAUUGUCAGAUGAGAAGCAAGGGAAUAACAGUUCUCCACCUAUAUAUGAAUAGCCUCUUCUACAUGGAAGCCUCCUCAGGGUUCCACACAAUUAUAUGCUGUGAACUAUCUUAAUAAGACUGUCUUGCCAGUUGUGAUAUCAUUCAAGCUCUGGCCUGACAAGCCUCAUUUGUAGCAUGGGAUUGUUUUGCUUUAGAUUUUCAGUUUUCCAGGUUUACCUUCUGCUUAAAAUAAAGCAUGCCCUCAUUGUGUUUGUACAGUUUCUCCUGAAAGACGGAAAAAGGAGGUGCAUAAUAAACAAUGCUACAUAUGAAGAAUGGUAAAAAAUAAGAAAAUAGUAAGCUCUGAACCCUUUCAUGUUGCUUACAUCCCUCCUGGGGAGGGAGGGUAGGAGGAGGUAUAAAAAGCACUUGAAGAUUUGUCUUCUAUUUAAUCACGUGACUAAAAAUCAUAGUUGCACAGACAUGUACUUUUAUUCAUGUCAUUAGGCAAAUUAUGUCUGACCCAUGUGAGAAGAGUUGUUAGUAACUAUUUCCCUCUUCUACUGCUUGAAUUGUUUAAUCCUAACAGGAUACAGCUAAACAGGAUCACGUUUGAUCCAUCAACAAGUUGGACGAUUCUCUGUGUGUUUAGUUGGCUCCAUCAGAGGCUGCAACGUAACUGCCACCGGAUGUACCUGUAUCUGCACUGUCAGAACUGUUUGCUACCUGCAGUUUUCACACCAACAUAGAUAUUCUAAGCACCACAACUCAAGGAGGCCACCUAUUACUCCCAGCUGCUCUCAGACUGGUCCCACCUGUGUCUCCCAGCUUUUCUGUUGGCGUGCAAUGGGAAUCUCUCACAGGAGUGCCAUGAAGUGCAAUGGGGGAUGGUGUCCCCAUACUUCUGAACUGAUUAUUCAGAGUUGCGUGCUUAUUUGCUCCUUUUCCACAUAAGAUAUGUGGGAGAGGUUCUUGGAUACACCUUGGCUCAAGCUCUUUGUUUGAUAAUACAGGUGAGGCAAUGCACAGGGCUUUGCACAGGCAGGUAGUAAAUUACUGCCAGAAGCAGAGAUAAAGAGAGGAAGACCUGUGAUAAGGGGUCACAUGGUUUUUGUCAUGCUGCCUCUUAGAGUUACUCUUAAACUGAUAAGGUUUAGGUACCGCUCCUUCCUCUGGGCUGUGCUUAAAGUCCUAGUUUAACUGUGUGUGCCUCUCUUUUUGGCUGACACAGUGACCUGAUUGUGCAAGUAGUAUUACUUUAUUGUGGUAGAAGGCUUUGCUGAGAGGUGAUAAUACUGUGCAAUGCAAAGUUUUGUGUAGUACCUGGCUGUUUCUUUAAUAUAUUCAUGUUUACUUCUAAUACUAUUUGGAGGGAAAAAAAAUCAUAAUCCAUGCCUAAUUAAGAGGCUAGAUUAAUUCUGUUAUAUCAGUACUUUCUUAAUCUGUUUCUAACCAGAUUAAACCACUUAAUUUAGAAGCUGUUGAUGUUGCAGAUUGCAGCACUCCCAGGGAGCUGUUAAAGUCUAUCGUGUCAUAAGGGUUAUUGUGAUUUUAGGUGCCAUUUUUAACUUUAAACAUUUUGUGAAGAGUGGAAAGCAUGCUUGUGGGAUGAAGGAAGCCAAAAGCUUGCUUUAGCAAAAGGAGAGGUGAAAAUAACCUGUUUGUCAAGGUAUUAGUGGUUUUGGCUCCCUAACCUUGUGAAGGGAAAAGGCAUUGAAAGAAAGUAUUUUCUUAUACUUUUGUUAUAAAAUGUUUAGCCAUUACAGUAUAAAGUGUGUGUGCCUGUAUAAAUACACACACAAACAAAAUCCAUACACUCUGCUAUACAUGACUAAAAAUGUGUGCAUUAUUUUCUCAAGUACUUUCUGGAACUUAAACAGUGAGUUGCAUUGUAAAUAUUAGUAACCCAGCACAGAAUCGGUUAGUUAAUUACAGAACCUGCAUGCUGUUUGGUCUUUAUUUCAAAAUCAGUUAUAGUCCAAAAUGUUUUGGUGUAAUUAUUGGCAAUACUUUAUGUGUAGAAGGACUGGUUUAAACCUGGAAUUUCUGUUUUGUAGCCAACCUGACUCACAAAACAUGGUUUCACCCUGUAAGAACUUGCAUUGAUCACAUGUUCACUGUGUGCUGCUAAUGGGAUAUUAUGAAAUUAUAACCCAUAAACAAGACCUGAGAUUGUGUCAGGAAAAGCUUUCUAGUAUAGAUGAAGAAAUUAAUUGUGUAAUUGCAGAAAGGCUCUUCAUUUCAUUCCUUGCACCAGCAAACAUGACCAGGUUUUGUUUUUGUCUUUCCUCCAAAAUGUAUUUGAACAAUUAUCAAUAGCUUUAAAACAUGUUCUCAUUUUACAAUUUUUAAUUCUCUUGUACCAACUGAUUUUUUUUCUCUUGACUAGAACAAUCUAUUUUUAAAGCAUUUGGUCUGUGAGUAUGUGCUUCUGAUGAUGCCAAAGUCAGUCCUGAACACAACUGAAUUGCAGCCUUGACUAUGGAGGGUUAGCAAUGCUUUGUGCUUAGUUUUUGUUCACAGCAUCAACAACUGGCACACCACUGGCAGUUCCUAUCGUCUCUCGAACCUGCCUUGGCAAAAGAGGUCGUCACAAGGCACGUAUGUGCUCACUUGGUAUGUUCUGUCAGGGUCUGUAUUUAAUUUUUCAGUUAAGUAAUUCUUGUUCUCAUAUUAAGACACAGGGCCAGAUUUGCCCUGAAUGAAAUGCCUAUUAAAUUUGUUUUACUGUGGAUGAGCUUGUUUCCUUGUGUCAGGUUUCAGCCUGAAGCAAUUGCUUCUGAGAGUUUAUUUCCUGAUGUCUUAUAUGUGUUUUCAGAAAUGUUUUCCUCUUCCAAUAAUGCCAACAGCUGUUGUACAGAACAUACUGUACAAUACCUUUAAAAUGAAGGCUUGUGAUUUUGAAAUAUGAAUGAACAAUUGAUGAUAAAACAAUGGAGGUUAUUAAUUUAGCUCAAAGAACAGCACUCAAAGAAUACAGUGCUCUUCUUCAUGUCUCUCAGACUUGCACAAAGUAUUGAAUCAGAUUUUUCCAUUAUUAGCAGUGUAAAUUUUACACCGAUAUCUGCACAAAAUGUGCAUACACAGUAUGCAUCAACUGGUUGCUGUGGUCUGAGAAACAACAGUGAUAACUUGUUUUGGAGAAUAAGGCUACUGUUUGGCAAGCUGGGUUCCUUAUUGUCAUUUUAGAACUAAGGAUGUUUUUGCCCUUUAGGUUUUAUUCUUAGGCAGAUAACGGGCAGUGGAAGAAAUGAAGAGGACAGGAAGAAGAAAGGCUAGAAACUAUUGCACUCAUUUCAAAUGCUAGGCUAAGAAAAUCUCUUAACUAAUUGUUUGUAGAUGCACUGACUACAGGCUUGUAAACUAAUUAGGAUAUAAAUUUCACCAUGUGACAGGAUACUUACUGUAAAAAGUCAUAUCUAACCUUCAUCACCAAACACAUUCUGCACUAUGGAUCAAAAAUAACAUUCAAAUUCAGCCAGCUGACUCCACUGCCAAAAGUCCAAUUCUGUUUCCAGAACUGUGCACAUAAUUAUUAAAACUGUUUUUUACCACUGAA